UACGGGGGGAGCAAGCGUUGUUCAGAUUUACUGGGCGUAAAGGGCGCGCAGGCGGCCUCUGCAAGUCGACUGUGAAAUCUCCGGGCUUAACCCGGAAAGGUCAGCCGAUACUGCAGGGCUAGAGUGCAGAAGGGGCAACUGGAAUUCUCGGUGUAGCGGUGAAAUGCGUAGAUAUCAGGAGGAACACCGGUGGCGAAGGCGGCUACCUGGACCGACACUGACGCUGAGGAGCGAAAGCCAGGGGAGCAAACGGG
rnacentral:rRNA from 1 species